AUACGGAGGGUGCAAGUGUUAUUCGGAAUCACUGGGCGUAAAGGACGCGUAGGCGGGUUGGCAAGUCAGAUGUGAAAUCCUACAGCUUAACUGUAGAACUGCAUUUGAAACUGCUAACCUAGAGUAUGGGAGGGGGAGAUGGAAUUAGUGGUGUAGGGGUAAAAUCCGUAGAUAUCACUAGGAAUACCGAAAGCGAAGGCGAUCUCCUGGAACAUAACUGACGCUAAGGCGUGAAAGCGUGGGGAGCAAACAGGAUUAGAUACCCUAGUAGUCC
rnacentral:rRNA from 1 species